UUUAGCAUCCCCUUGGAUAGGCGUGUGGUAGUUCACCUUUUAUUUUUGUACUGUUUCCCAUAAUAGGUGUAAUAACACGUGGGUGCUUAGUGUGGUACUUCUUGUUUCUGUUGCAUGUACGGCUCUAAGUUCUAACGUUCUUGUUUUGGGUUCACCAUUAGCUUAUUGUUUGCAUCGGUAAUUAACAUUUCCGUGUUGGUUGGGUUUUGUGUUCACUUGGAUGAGGUAAUUAUCUAAACGGAGUUUUGUUCCUUGCUUCUGCUGCAAGUAUAAUUUAGAUCCUCCUAUUUUGUUUUUAUUACUACUAGUACGUGGUACCUUGUUUUUUGUUUCUGGUUGUGUGCACUUGAUACGGGGUGAUCCUCAGACCAGAGUUUGUUCUUGUUUCUGCUGCAAGAUUAGUCUCACUAUCAUAGGCUUAUAGCUUUUAUGGCCUUUUCAUUCUGCUCACUCAACAUGUUAUCCAGAAGUGAGAGUCUAAAGAAUUUACAACAUGUCAUUGAUGAAUCUCUAGUGCUGUUAACUCAAAAGGAUAUUUAGAACCGAGUCUCAAGACAUUUUCGACAUGAGCUCAAUGAAAAAAGAAGGUUCUUUAGUCUCUUGUAAAGAGGUUCAACCACUGAAAAGGUGAAUAAUAUUGUAUGUACUUAGCACAAAAAAGAGAGAGAAUAGUAUUGUACGUACCAGGUGGAUGGUGCUGCAAGAACAACGGAAUUUCCUACAGAGAACUAGGUUUAAGGUGCAAAGAAAAUGUAUGCUUUCUUUGAAGUUAUUGCAGAUAAGGUCUUCAAAGAGUAUGUUCUUCCAUACUUUGUGGGCCUGAUACUAAAAUCUGCUGAACAGAAUUGAUCCCCACUAUUUGCUGUAACAAGUUACCAAACCAAACUUUAAGUCCUAAUCAAUUGAGGUAUGCGUCCUGUUUUCUUUAAUCACUUCAUGUCAUAAGUAUCUAACGAGAUCUUUUACGUGCUAGCUGCUAGCUAUCCAAUACACAACCUCCUCCUUUAUCCGGGUUUGGGAUGGGCUGUGUGAAAAAUACGAUUCUGAGCAUGACAUGGACGGAGUUAUUUGCGGAAACAAUUCUAUAAAUUUACUUUCGAUUUUGUCCUCUAGCCAUGUAAUGAAUUUUGGGUGCCUCCUGACCAAAAAACAAAAGAAAA